rnacentral:rRNA from 1 species
GGAGCCUACGGGGGGCAGCAGUGGGGAAUAUUGCACAAUGGGGGAAACCCUGAUGCGGCAACGCCGCGUGAGUGAAGAAGUAUUUCGGUAUGUAAAGCUCUAUCAGCAGGGAAGAAGAUGACGGUACCUGAUUAAGAAGCCCCGGCUAACUACGUGCCAGCAGCCGCGGUAAUACGUAGGGGGCAAGCGUUAUCCGGAUUUACUGGGUGUAAAGGGCGUGUAGGCGGGAGUGCAAGUCAGAUGUGAAAACUAUGGGCUCAACCCAUAGCCUGCAUUUGAAACUGUACUUCUUGAGUGCUGGAGAG